rnacentral:rRNA from 1 species
UUGAAAGGGAAACGAUUGAAGUCAGUCGUACCGACGGAGAAUCAACUUUCUGGAGUGCAAGUCGAGGUAUUCGAGGAGUUUAAAAGCCCUUGUGUGCUUCGUAUUCGUGCUUCUGGGGUGCACUUCUUCGUAUGGUAGGUUAACAUCAAUUUUGGACGUUACAAAAUGAUUGGGGGAAUGUAGCUUCGAUUUUUCGAAGUGUUAUAGCCUUCGGUAGAUGUGAUGAUUGGGAUUGAGGAUUGCAACGGAUACCCUUCGGGGCUACCUGCCUGAUCUCUGAAAGUUGCUCUGGUGCCGAAAGCUUGCUUACGGUAUCAAAGUUGACGUUCAACAGGUUAGAACGGGAUAAAUUCGUUAAGGAUGUUGACGUA